AGCGUCCGCAGGGGGCGCAUCAAGUCUGCUGUUAAAGGUCGGAGCUUAACUCCGGUGAGGCAGUGGAAACUGGUGCGCUAGAGGGCGACAGGGGUAGAGGGAAUUCCCAGUGUAGCGGUGAAAUGCGUAGAGAUUGGGAAGAACACCGGUGGCGAAAGCGCUCUACUGGGUCGCACCUGACCCUCAGGGACGAAAGCUAAGGUAGCGAAAGGGAUUAGAUACCCCUGUAGUCUUAGCCGUAAACGAUGGAUACUAGGCGUGGUUUGUAUCGACCCAAGCCGUGCCGAAGCUAACGCGUUAAGUAUCCCGCCUGGGGAGUACGCACGCAAGUGUGAAACUCAAAGGAAUUGACGGGGGCCCGCACAAGCGGUGGAGGAUGUGGUUUAAUUCGAUGCAACGCGAAGAACCUUACCAGGGCUUGACAUCCCGCGAAGUCUGGGGAAACUCGGAUGUGCCUUCGGGAACGCGGAGACAGGUGGUGCAUGGCUGUCGUCAGCUCGUGUCGUGAGAUGUUGGGUUAAGUCCCGCAACGAGCGCAACCCUCGUCCUUAGUUGCCAGCAUUAAGUUGGGCACUCUAGGGAGACUGCCGGUGACAAACCGGAGGAAGGUGAGGAUGACGUCAAGUCAGCAUGCCCCUUAUGCUCUGGGCGACACACGUCCUACAAUGGUCGGGACAAAGGGGAGCCAGCUCGCGAGAGUAAGCGAAUCCCAUCAAACUCGGCCUCAGUUCAGAUUGCAGGCUGCAACUCGCCUGCAUGAAGGAGGAAUCGCUAG
rnacentral:rRNA from 1 species